UAUACAUCCAGGCAAUCAAAAUACCCCUUAAGUUAAUAGUAAUGGAGAAGCCCUACUGGAUUCCCUGCUCUGUUGAGCCACGGUGACAUCACUGUGUGGUUUUGAUGGGGGCUGUUCCAGUUGUAGGGGAGGAUCAGAACAGAAGGGAUUGGAUGAUAGAGGAAAAGCAGCUAAAUUCUUAGCACGCGUUCAUACGUUAUCACAAGAUGAAUUGCUACACACAUUAGGAAUGUGUGAGCUGUCUCCAUAUACGCUUUCUCCCCCAAAGGCACAAUUUGUAGUAACUCCCAGAGUUUUGUCCCUUUACUCUGUAUGCCCAGCUGCCUUCCUCUAUUCUGGGUGACAGAACACGGCUGUGUCAGUGUCUGUUUACUGCUGGUAACUCAGUGGCAUGAUUAAGAUCCCUUUUGAAGAGCACAGCUAAUUUCCUCUGUGUAAAAGGAGGCAACAAUUAGUACAUCAUAUUACAGUUACGCAAUACUCUUCCUUUAAAGAAUUAUCAGCCAUGUCCCGAGGGUCAGUGUCUUUUCCUGUUGAAGAGGAAGCAGAAAAAGCAACUGUUCAGCAGCUUGAAACCGUCAAACACCUACUCUAGGGAAAGGCAAAUCUAAUGAUUUCCUGCUGGACACAUUGCUGAGCCGAGGCUGAAAACAGAGGAUGUGGUUACAGAGACAUCUCUUAGUGUUGGGGCUGCUCGCUCAGUGGAGCUGUGUGGCUGGGGGCUGCCUGCUGUGCUGCAUCGCAGGGUCUGUUUUCAACCUCUCUAGGUUCUGUUGCUCGUUCCGAGCCCCCAGUAUCAGCACUGGGGGAAAGGAGGAGGAAUGCACAGCUGAAGCUGAGGGGAGGGCUGCAGGGAUGCUGAGGAAGUACUGCAGCUAAAAGGAGCAGUACAAGAAUGAUAGCCUCCAACUGUUCCUAGUAGCUUUUGUGUACGUGUGACAAAUAGAUGGAAUGGAUGGGCUGGUGGCAGUUCUAAGCCUCUCUUCUUUAGUUGGAUGCUCUGGUGGCACUUAGGGAGAUGGCGUGUGUUUGCUGUGUGCGUUUCCCCUUCCCUCCUUGGAGUGCUUUAUGGAGAACAAACACUGCGGAGCGGAUUCUUUGAGGGCAAUGAAUGGCAUCGGGGCGAGGACAGUUUACAUUACCAGGCUUAGGUAUGUCACUGAGGCCAGGCAAUGUGUUGAGACUUUUCAACGCAGGUCCUCCUCAUGGAGGACAAAUGAGGUGCAGCGAAUGCAGCCACCCGCCAUCCAUCCGCAUGGCGCAGUGUUGGCAGACAUCAGGAAACGGAGCCAGGAGCAGCAGAUCGUUUUCCUUUCAUCUUGUUCUGUUCCUGAUCUGAGAUGCUUAUUUUCCACACAGAUAAAUCUGAGAGUUUGUCAGCGGGCAAAGUGCUGCAGUUGUUGAAAUUGGAUUGGUUUAUAUUUCAGAAACGAAAGGAAUGAAUUAAGGUUCCGCAGUGUUCCUUUCUCCCUGCCUCUCCCGUUUUCCUGCCUGCAUCCAACACUGUUAUUCUUGUGUGAAGUAACACCUUGGAUUUAGGAGCACAACCAUAUCGAUAACAUCUCUGUCAAAGUGUACACAUUAAUACAUAAUCAUGAGUCUUCUGAAAGCUAAAGGCUGAGCUUUUAACUGGGGGGUUUCUUUUGCUCCCUGACCUCGUGCCAUUUAUCUGCUUUUGCUCUCAUGCUGCAAACCAGCAUGUCAGCUACAUCUCUUUAUCCUUCCUGAUGAAGCUGCGCUCCCUCCUUCAGCUCGCUCUGCCCCUGCUGAUCCAGAGGAGCAGGGCUGUUGUGGAGCACAGCAGAAGCAGCACAGUGCUUGUUUGUAAACAGCUGACUGCGGGGACUGCCUCCAUGGAAGUUCCUAAACCACUGAAAUAAGAGCUGUUCCCUGGAUGUAGUCAGGGGCUGCUGCUGCUGCUGUCUGUGCCACGGGUGCGUAGUGAAGUGCAUGCAUCUGUUUUCUCAUUCUCCAGCAAGAUAAAUAAAUGUGCUGACUACACAUUGUCUUCAGAGCCCUUCCUGUUGGGGGAAUAAGGGGCUGAAACUGUGUGCCUUCUAUUGUGAAGUUAAGUCUGUUUUGUGACAGGAGUCUGCAUCACUGAUUGGGUCAGCCUCAAAGUAAUGCUUCCUGUAACAUGUGGCAAUUGUGACUAGCUGUAGAGAGCAGUCUGCAAAUGCUGCAGCUCUGCUGUUUCAGGGGCUCAGUAGAGACUGAAGGUGUCUUCACUGCCCAGUGGAUCAAUAUGGCCAACACCCUGCUUAGCCUUGCUCAAAUUAGAUCAUCCUUUACAUGCAGCCAUACCCAUGUUAUGAUGAACUCAUUCUUUCUGCAGCUGUUUAUAAGUGGGAAGGUACAGGUCUGAACAAAGUUCAGACAGGAUUCACUUUCUGUUGAUGAUUACAAGGGAACUUUCUCUCCUUUGAAAGGAAACCGGUACGGAAGCAUUUAUGGGCUCCACUUGGAUGAUUUCUUUCUUUUCUUGUUUUUUGUCCCCUCCCCUGAUUUUAUAACAAUAUCAGAAGUUUGCCAGGAGUAUGCGAUUGCAGCCUCCAGAUUUAUUUCCAUCUCAGUGUGUACAAUGGGCAUAGUUUAUGAUGUUUUCAAUGCUACGUGAGAGGGCCAAGUUAAUGUUAACCCAAAUAUAACUGUCUAAAUUCUCUCCCAUGCAUCCAAGGAGACCUGCUUUACAGGAUCAGAUCACCUUGUGUAUGAUGAAUCUUCACAAAGCCUCUGACUGAGGGGUAACCCAACUGCUGAAGAUGGGCUCCGGACUCUGCACUGCUGUGAUCAUGACAGGCUUGUGAAUCAUAGUGAUUGGUGCUGUUGUCUGGGAAGCCCUGAAAGUCUGAAAAGCCCAGAGGGUGAAAAUUGAAUGGAAACUCAAUAUUAAAACCUUCUUGUGAUUUGUUGUUUGUUUUUUUUUUAAACAUGGCUGAGGAAGUAGGAAUGAAGUGACUGGAGAGAGAGCUGCUGGCAUGGAAGUGAGCUGGGUUUGUUCGUGGGAACUCUGAGUAAGGUUGCCAUCACGAAAGCCAAAGUGGAUUUCUCCGGUGUGGUGUGCCUGCCCCCU